GACGAACGCUGGCGGCGUGCUUAACACAUGCAAGUCGAACGGAAAGGCCCUGCUUUUGUGGGGUGCUCGAGUCGCGAACGGGUGAGUAACACGUGAGUAACCUGCCCUUGACUUUGGGAUAACUUCAGGAAACUGGGGCUAAUACCGGAUAGGAGCUCCUGCUGCAUGGUGGGGGUUGGAAAGAUUCGGCGGUUGGGGAUGGACUCGCGGCUUAUCAGCUUGUUGGUGAGGUAGUGGCUUACCAAGGCUUUGACGGGUAGCCGGCCUGAGAGGGUGACCGGCGACAUUGGGACUGAGAUACGGCCCAGACUCCAACGGGAGGCAGCAGUCGGGAGUAUUGCACAAUGGGCGGAAGCCUGAGACAGCAACGCCGCGUGCGUGAUGACGGCCUUCGGGUUGUAAACCGCUUUCGCCUGUGACGAAGCGUGAGUGACGGUAAUGGGUAAAGAAGCACCGGCUAACUACGUG
rnacentral:rRNA from 1 species